rnacentral:rRNA from 1 species
UACGAAGGUCCCGAGCGUUAUCCGGAUUUAUUGGGUUUAAAGGGUGCGUAGGCGGACUAUUAAGUCAGUGGUGAAAGCCUUCAGCUUAACUGAAGAAUUGCCAUUGAUACUGAUGAUCUUGAGUAUGAUUGAGGUGGGCGGAAUGUGUCAUGUAGCGGUGAAAUGCUUAGAUAUGACACAGAACACCGAUUGCGAAGGCAGCUCACUAAGCCAUAACUGACGCUGAUGCACGAAAGCGUGGGGAGCAAACAGG